rnacentral:rRNA from 1 species
GACAGAGGGUGCAAACGUUGCUCGGAAUCACUGGGCGUAAAGGGCGCGUAGGCGGUCAAGUAAGUCGGGCGUGAAAUCCCUAGGCUCAACCUAGGAACUGCACUCGAAACUGCAUGUCUUGAGUACCGGAGAGGAAAGCGGAAUACCUGGUGUAGAGGUGAAAUUCGUAGAUAUCAGGUGGAACACCAGUGGCGAAGGCGGCUUUCUGGACGGUAACUGACGCUGAGGCGCGAAAGCGUGGGGAGCAAACAGG